UUAUACAUGCAAGUCGAACGAAGUAGCAAUACUUAGUGGCAGACGGGUGAGUAACAUGUGGGUAUCUUCCCUUUGGCCUGGAAUAACACGAGGAAACUUGUGCUAAUACCGGAUAAGUCUUUACGGAGAAAGCUUUAUGCACCAUUGGAUGAGCCCGCACUUGAUUAGUUUGUUGGUGGGGUAAUGGCCUACCAAGACAAUGAUCAAUAGCUGAUUUGAGAGGAUGAUCAGCCACAUUGGAACUGAGACACGGUCCAAACUCCUACGGGAGGCAGCAGUAGGGAAUCUUGCACAAUGGAGGAAACUCUGAUGCAGCGAUGCCGCGUGAGUGAAGAAGGCCUUUGGGUUGUAAAGCUCUUUCGUCGGGGAAGAAAAUGACUGUACCCGAAUAAGAAGGUCCGGCUAACUUCGUGCCAGCAGCCGCGGUAAUACGAAGGGACCUAGCGUAGUUCGGAAUUACUGGGCUUAAAGAGUUCGUAGGUGGUUAAAAAAGUUGGUGGUGAAAUCCCAGAGCUUAACUCUGGAACUGCCAUCAAAACUUUUUAGCUAGAGUAUGAUAGAGGAAAGCAGAAUUUCUAGUGUAGAGGUGAAAUUCGUAGAUAUUAGAAAGAAUACCGAUUGCGAAGGCAGCUUUCUGGAUCAUUACUGACACUGAGGAACGAAAGCAUGGGUAGCGAAGAGGAUUAGAUACCCUCGUAGUCCAUGCCGUAAACAAUGUGUGUUAGACGUUGGAAAUUUAUUUUCAGUGUCGCAGCGAAAGCAAUAAACACACCGCCUGGGGAGUACGACCGCAAGGUUAAAACUCAAAUGAAUUGACGGGGACCCGCACAAGUAGUGGAGCAUGUGGUUUAAUUCGAAGAUACGCGCAGAACCUUACCAACACUUGACAUGUUCGUCGCGACUCUAAGAGAUUAGAGUUUUCGGUUCGGCCGGACGAAACACAGGUGCUGCAUGGCUGUCGUCAGCUCGUGUCGUGAGAUGUUGGGUUAAGUCCCGCAACGAGCGCAACCCUCACUUUUAGUUGCCAUCAUUAAGUUGGGCACUCUGAAAGAACUGCCGGUGAUAAGCUGGAGGAAGGUGGGGAUGACGUCAAGUCCUCAUGGCCCUUACGUGUUGGGCUACACACGUGCUACAAUGGUAUCUACAACAGGAAGCAAAACAGCGAUGUUAAGCAAAUCCCAAAAAGAUACCUCAGUUCGGAUUGCACUCUGCAACUCGAGUGCAUGAAGCUGGAAUUACUAGUAAUCGUGGAUCAGCGUGCCACGGUGAAUACGUUCCCGGGUCUUGUACACACCGCCCGUCACACCAUGGGAGUUGGUUCUACCUUAAGGCAAGGUUUUAAACCCUUGACCACGGUAUAGUCAGCGACUGGGGUG
rnacentral:rRNA from 1 species